GGCCAGACUCCUACGGGAGGCAGCAGUGAGGAAUAUUGGUCAAUGGGCUUACGCCUGAACCAGCCAAGUCGCGUGAGGGAAGACUGCCCUAUGGGUUGUAAACCUCUUUUGUCAGGGAGCAAUUGGCGCUACGUGUAGCGUUAUCGAGAGUACCUGAAGAAAAAGCAUCGGCUAACUCCGUGCCAGCAGCCGCGGUAAUACGGAGGAUGCGAGCGUUAUCCGGAUUUAUUGGGUUUAAAGGGUGCGUAGGCGGAAUGCCAAGUCAGCGGUAAAAUCGCGGGGCUCAACCUCGCUCCGCCGUUGAAACUGGCGAACUCGAGAGGGAGAGAAGUAGGCGGAAUGCGCAGUGUAGCGGUGAAAUGCAUAGAUACUGCGCAGAACUCCGAUUGCGAAGGCAGCCUACCGGCUCCUGUCUGACGCUGAGGCACGAAAGCGUGGGUAUCGAACAGGAUUAGAUACCCCCGUACG
rnacentral:rRNA from 1 species